GAUGAACGCUGGCGGCGUGCCUAAUACAUGCAAGUCGAGCGAACGGACGAGAAGCUUGCUUCUCUGAUGUUAGCGGCGGACGUGUGAGUAACACGUGGAUAACCUACCUAUAAGACUGGGAUAACCUCGGGAAACCGGAGCUAAUACCGUAUGAUAUUUUGAACCGCAUGGUUCAAAAGUGAAAGACGGUCUUGCUGUCACUUAUAGAUGGAUCCGCGCUGCAUUAGCUAGUUGGUAAGGUAACGGCUUACCAAGGCAACGAUGCAUAGCCGACCUGAGAGGGUGAUAGGCCACACUGGAACUGAGACACGGUCAAGACUCCUACGGGAGGCAGCAGUAGGGAAUCUUCCGCAAUGGGCGAAAGCCUGACGGAGCAACGCGGCGUGAGUGAUGACGGUCUUCGGAUCGUAAAACUCUGUUAUUAGGGAAGAACAUAUGUGUAAGUAACUGUGCACAUCUUGACGGUACCUAAUCAGAAAGCCACGGCUAACUACGUG
rnacentral:rRNA from 1 species